UCUCCUGGAAACGGGUGGUAAUGCCGGAUGUUCCACAUGAGCGCAUGCGAGUGUGGGAAAGGCUUUUUGCGGCAUGGGAUGGGGUCGCGUCCUAUCAGCUUGUUGGUGGGGUAACGGCCUACCAAGGCGUUGACGGGUAGCCGGCCUGAGAGGGCGACCGGCCACAUUGGGACUGAGAUACGGCCCAGACUCCUACGGGAGGCAGCAGUGGGGAAUAUUGCACAAUGGGCGCAAGCCUGAUGCAGCGACGCCGCGUGCGGGAUGGAGGCCUUCGGGUUGUAAACCGCUUUUGUUCAAGGGCAAGGCACGGUUUCGGCCGUGUUGAGUGGAUUGUUCGAAUAAGCACCGGCUAACUACGUGCCAGCAGCCGCGGUAAUACGUAGGGUGCAAGCGUUAUCCGGAUUUAUUGGGCGUAAAGGGCUCGUAGGCGGGUUCGUCGCGUCCGCGCGUGAAAGUCCAUCGCUUAACGGGUGGAUCCGCGCCGGGUACGGGCGGGCUUGAGUGCGGUAGGGAGACUGGUAAUUCCCGGUUGUAACGGUGGAAUGUGUAGAUAUCGGAAGACACC
rnacentral:rRNA from 1 species